rnacentral:rRNA from 1 species
UACGUAGGGUGCAAGCGUUGUCCGGAAUUAUUGGGCGUAAAGAGCUUGUAGGCGGUUUGUCGCGUCUGCUGUGAAAUUUCGGGGCUCAACCCCGAACUUGCAGUGGGGUACGGGCAGACUAGAGUGUGGUAGGGGAGACUGGAAUUCCUGGUGUAGCGGUGAAAUGCGCAGAUAUCAGGAGGAACACCGAUGGCGAAGGCAGGUCUCUGGGCCAUAACUGACGCUGAGAAGCGAAAGCAUGGGGGAGCGAACAGG